rnacentral:rRNA from 1 species
UACGGAGGGUGCAAGCGUUAAUCGGAAUUACUGGGCGUAAAGCGUGCGUAGGCGGUUCGUUAAGUCUGCUGUGAAAGCCCCGGGCUCAACCUGGGAAUGGCAGUGGAUACUGGCGAGCUAGAGUGUGAUAGAGGAUGGUGGAAUUCCCGGUGUAGCGGUGAAAUGCGUAGAGAUCGGGAGGAACAUCAGUGGCGAAGGCGGCCAUCUGGACCAGCACUGACGCUGAGGCACGAAAGCGUGGGGAGCAAACAGG